AGAGUUUGAUCCUGGCUCAGGAUGAACGCUAGCGGCAGGCCUAAUACAUGCAAGUCGAACGGUAAGUGUUUUAGCAAUAAGACACCAAGAGUGACGCACGGGUGCGUAACACGUAUGCAACCUACCCUUUACAGGCGGAUAGCUCGGGGAAACUCGAAUUAACCCGCCAUAAUAUAAUUAGAUGGCAUCAUUUGAUUAUUAAAACUGAGGUGGUAAAGGAUGGGCAUGCGUCUGAUUAGUUAGUUGGUAGUGUAACGGACUACCAAGACGAUGAUCAGUAGGGGAACUGAGAGGUUGAUCCCCCACACUGGCACUGAGAUACGGGCCAGACUCCUACGGGAGGCAGCAGUAGGGAAUAUUGGUCAAUGGGUGAGAGCCUGAACCAGCCAUGCCGCGUGCAGGAAGAAGGCCUUCUGGGUUGUAAACUGCUUUUGCCAGGGGAUAAAAAUACCUUGCGAGGUAAAUUGAAGGUACCUGGUGAAUAAGCCACGGCUAACUACGUGCCAGCAGCCGCGGUAAUACGUAGGUGGCAAGCGUUGUCCGGAUUUAUUGGGUUUAAAGGGUGCGUAGGCGGCCCUGUAAGUCAGUGCUGAAAUAUCCCAGCUUAACUGGGAGGGUGGCAUUGAUACUGCGGGGCUAGAGUACAGAUGAGGUAGGCGGAAUUGACGGUGUAGCGGUGAAAUGCUUAGAUAUCGUCAAGAACACCUAUAGCGAAGGCAGCUUACUAGGCUGUAACUGACGCUGAGGCACGAAAGUGUGGGGAUCAAACAGGAUUAGAUACCCUAGUAGUCC
rnacentral:rRNA from 1 species